CUCUUUCCCCGCGGAGCGCCUGGAAUGUCGGCACACGGUCUGAUGGAGAGAAGGUUUUCAGUGGUGUGAAGUACAUCGUACACUAAGCACUUCAUGGAAGGACCAUCAGAAGUAGAAGAAUACUUGGUACACACAAGUGGAUUUUCCUGAAAAACAUAGUGGCAUGAACAGUUUCUAGUAAUGGCAAUGUGACAUGUCCUGAAGAAAGAUUUCCUCGCAACAGGAAAUAAAACAGGAAAAUGCGUUUCAUAGAAAACAAGUAGGAACAAGUGCUUUUGGCUUAUUCAGUGAUGAGCUGGACUACUUUGUCAGAACUGCCUGACAGAUGUGGAUGAUGUAACCAGGAGGAAGUGUAACACCUGAAGAGAUUUGUGGCUUGGAGUGGGAUGCCAUGCUUUUAAAAGCCUGCUGAAACACCUGCCUGCCAUUUUGUUUAGUAGAUACUGUCUCUGCAUGUUUAAAACACCAUCUUUCCAAAAUACUGAACUGUCUUCUGUAGGAAGUAUAGCAGUGAUAUUAGGGAAAGGAGUACCUGGAAAACCCCUUGACUUUUUACCCUUUUAAAAUACCAUAUGGGUAGACAGUCUUGCAGAUACUAGAGAUCUGUGGUAACUCAGGAGUGGAGCUCACAGGCAGGCCCUGUAAAGAUGGGGUGAAAGCAAAGAAAAAGCCAAUGUCUACAGCUUGCAUCACUGUAUCCUAGUGAGGAGUUGGGGUUCUAUGAGCUGCCACUUCAGCAGCAGAAGACUAGUACCACACUAGUGGAACUGCCCUUUGAGGAAUACACUGGCAACAGUACUUGAUUGCUCUCUGGGGGAAAGAGGUUGGUAAAAGAGAGGGAAAAGAAAGUUACAUACAUUGGAACUUGGGCUUUUGUCUUGGUUUGAAAAGACAGGUGUCUGCUGAGGAAGGCAGGUGCCUCCCUUGAAAUGAAUAAUAUAAACCUCUUCUCUCUGAAUUGUUAUAAUUUUGAAAUUAAGGGGCUCUCAAGCAAAGACAUGGGACUAGGAAUAACAGUUCUGUAUUAGGAAAAAUAAAAGUAAAAAUAAAAACGCAGUAAUACAAAACAACACUGACAGAGUCAGAAUACAGCCUGGCAACCCUGCUGGUCAGGGUGUUGGUAGCAGCACGAUU